GGCGGGCCGCCCCGCAUUGUAUGGCAGGAACCUGGUCAGGUCCGGAAGGAAGCAGCCAUAACUGCUCAAUGCAAGUGCCGGGGGAACGGCUCGCCACC
rnacentral:SRP_RNA from 1 species